UGCCAGCCGCCGCGGUAAUACGGAGGGGGCAAGCGUUGUUCGGAAUUACUGGGCGUAAAGGGCGUGUAGGCGGCGGUUUUAGUCAGGCGUGAAAGCCCGAGGCUCAACCUCGGAAUAGCGCUUGAUACUGAACUGCUUGAGACCGGAAGAGGGUAGUGGAAUUCCCAGUGUAGAGGUGAAAUUCGUAGAUAUUCGGAAGAACAUCAGUGGCGAAGGCGACCUCCUGGACUGAUAUUGACGCUGAGGUGCGAAAGCGUGGGGAGCAAACAGGAUUAGAUA
rnacentral:rRNA from 1 species